GGGACAGUUUCAGCCAGUAUAGGCUCAUUGAAGGUUCUAGCAUCCAUUCAUGGUUUGAUAGUACCAUUGAUGAAAGUCAUAUAUAGGUAGAAUUGAAAAAUGUUUGCUUUACUGUAGUAUACUUCACAUAUUAUGGUAUUAUAGUUUAUAAAACACUUUCGUAUGCAUUUACUGCAUCCUCCCAACAGCCCUAUGUGGCAGAUAUCCCCAUUUUAUAGAUGAAGAAGCAAAGGCCAAGAGGUGAAGUGACUUGCUUUCAAGUGCACAAAGCCAGUAAGAAAAGCUGGGACUUGAUGCUAGGUUUUCUAAGUUUAGGACCCUUUUUAUUUAUUUAUUUUAUUUUAUUUUUUUAUUUUAUUUAAAUUAUUUUUUAUUUUUUAUUUUUUUGGUCUUUUUGCUAUUUCUUUGGGUCGCUCCCGAGGCAUAUGGAGGUUCCCAGGCUAGGGGUCAAAUCGGAGCUGUAGCCACCGGCCUAUGCCAGAGCCACAGCAAUGCGGGAUCUGAGCCGCCGCGUCUGCAACCUACACCACAGCUCACGGCAACGCCCGGAUCCUUAACCCACUGAGCAAGGGCAGGGAUUUAACCCGCAACCUCAUGGUUCCUAGUCAGAUUCGUUAACCACUGCGCCACGACGGGAACUCGUCUUUUUUACUGUUUGAUCCACCUCCUACCUUAAUUUGGAUCUGGUUUGCCAUGGUUCACAGUUUCAGUGCUGCCCUCCUCAGGUCUGACAACCUGCUUGACUUUGCAUUUUAUCUGCUCUGCGAGUUGCCAACCCUGAAUUCUCUUUCCUUGCUUCUUUUGCUGCCUCUAGAUUGCCCAGUGUUGCUGGGGAGUCAGGAAAAUGGACUGCUUUUGUUGUUAGCACUUCCCACUGCCUCACUUGUGUUCUGCUCUCUCUGCCUCUCCAGGUGCUCUUGGGUUGCAUUCUCAGGAUCCCAGUUCCCACAGCAGCUGCUUGUAUGUUUACCAAGGCUCACUUUUCCCUCAGGCCUUAGACCUGCUGUCCAUCUCCCUUAUCCUUGACCUGUGACCUCAGUUUAGGACUUGUGCUCCUGAUUUUUUUCCCCCUUUCCUGUCAUGACACUUUUAUCAUUCUUGCUUUUGGAAAGUCCUUGACUUUUUUUUUUUUUUCCUUCUGAUUAUGCAGUUAACAUAAGAGGUAAAAUUUAGGCAUUUUUAAAUAAGGAGAGGAACCCAUAAUCCCCUGUCUCAAUGUUAACCACCAUUAUGAAUUUGGUUUAUAUUUAGCCACACUUUUUUGCACUGUGUAUGCUAAUAGGUAUGUAUUUGUGUUUCCGUGUGUGUGUCUGUGAGAUAAAGUAAUUCCUCUUUUUUAUGGAAAUAGAAUCACAGUAUAUCUACUUUUCUAUAAUUUGCUUUUUUUCUUCAAUUAAUGCUUUUAUCUUGGGCAUUUCCCCAUGUUUAGGGCACAUAUCUUUUUAUUUAUUUAUUUAUAUUAUGGUUGCAGCCAUGGCAUAUGGAAGUUCCCAGGCCAGGGAUUGAUUGAAUUCAAGCCACAGCUGCAACCCACACCACAGUUCUGGCAGUGAUGGAUCCUUAAACUCACUGCACUGUGCUGGCGAUUGAACCUGCAUCUCGGGGCUGCAGAGAUGCUGUCCAUCCUGUUGCACCACAGUGGGAACUCCUAUUGUAUCUUUUUAAGUAGUUACAGGUAAGAUAUAUUUGUAUCAAUUUUCCUAGUCCCCUGGUGAGAGACAUUUGUUUCUGUUUCUUUGCAAUUACAAGCAUCCUUGUGUAUAUAUCUUUGUGUACCUCUUUACAUACAUUGUAUACAUCUUUCUGUUCUUUGUAUAUGUCUUAGGAUAUAUUCUUACAAGUGGUAUUUAUGCAUCAAAGGUUAUGCAUAUUUAAAAUUUUACUAACAUUUACCACAUAUCUUUCAAGAGAUUAUUUCAAUUUAUAUUUCUCCUCUAACACUGAACAUUAUCAAUAACUUUAAUCUUUGACAAUUGAAACCUAGUUAACUAAUUUUUUUUUUUUUUUUUUUUUUUUUUUUUUAAUGGCCGCAUCUGUAGCAUAUGGAAGUUCCUGGGCCGGGGGUUGAAUCGGAGCUGUAGCUGUGGCCUGUGCUACAGCCAUGGCAACACCAGAUCCAAGGCACAUCUGUGACAUAUGCUGCAGGUUACAGCAACACUGGAUCCUUAACCACUGAGUGAGGCCAGCAAUUGAACUUGCAUCCUCACAGAGACAGCAGUGGUUCCUUAACCCAUUGAGUCACAAUGGAAAUUCCUAGUUAACUAAUUUUUAUUUACAUUUCCUUAUGGAGGGGGAUCAGCAUCUUUUCAUGUUUUUGCUUCAUAUAUAGAUUGACCAGUUAAUUGAUUACUCAGUUAUCUUUUUCCAGCACCUUCUGUCCUCCAUCCUUCCCCUUUUUGUUUUUACCUAUAUACAAGGUAGAACUAUAGUAACUUUGCUUAGCUCUUGGCCUCUCCUGCUACCAUAGCCCUCUCUUUUCUCCACAUUUUUACAUUAAAAAUCAAGUUUUGUAGUUACCAUCAUGGCUCAGUGGUUAACGAAUCCGAUUAGGAACCAUGAGGUUGUGGGUUCCAUCCCUGACCUCACUCAGUGGGUCAAGGAUCCGGUGUUGUCAUGAGCUGUGGUGUGGCUAUGGCGCAGGCCAGCAGGUGUAACUCUGAUUAGACUCCUAGCCUGGCUGGGAACCUCCACAUGCUGUGGGUGUGGCUCUAAAAAGAAAAAAAAGAAAAAAGAAAAAAAAA
ensembl:lncRNA